AAGAAGUUAAUUAUACCACUGUUGCAGUUGUGAGCUACAAAUACCCAGAGGAGAUGCCACUUACACUGGAAUUCAUACAGAUUUUUCUUGUAAAGACAUCCUGAACAAGGGUUGAGAUGAAAGCAACCAAGUGAUGGGCAGUUCAAGAUUGCUGUCGUUCGAGAAGUUAAUGAACGCAUCUCCUCUACUGUUUGCUUAUAUGACAGAGGCAAAUGGAGACCAUUGGAAAUAAUUUCCCUGUGAAGAAAUCCUGAACAAGGGUUGAGAUGAAGGCAACCAAGUGGCUGCGUGUUCCUCCAAGACUCUUGCAUGAACGAUUUCGAAAAUCCAUGUAAUAUUUGAUCUUUUUUAAAAAUCUCAAAAUGGCCCUUUUUUUUAAACAUGCAGAUUAGGGGGAAAUAAUACAUCCCUUAUAAUGACAGAAAGCACCAAGAUUUAAUUAAAAAUACUCAUUCAUUUGUGUUCUGAAGAUGAAUGAAAGUCUUAUGGGUUUGGAAUGGUAUGAGGGUGAGUACUUGAUGACAGAAAUUCACAUAUUUGAGUGAACUAUCCUUCUAAACAAUAUUGUUCUCUUAUAGGAAAAAAUGCAUAUUUGCACCGAGUAAUCCCACACUGACACAGGGAGAACAUCCAAACUUCACACAAAAAGGCCUCCCUUCUCUGCCAGGGCUCAAACCAGGGACCUUUUCGCUGGGAGACACUGUGCCACCCCCUCUAUAAAAUUGUCUCAUGAGGAGGUUCAGUCUCCUGAGUUUCUGUCUGCUAAAACAGGAGAUUCUGUGUCUAUCAGCUGCACUGAGACCAGCGAAGAGCUGGUAUCUGCUGAAACCUGGAGAAGCUCCCAUAAACUUCUGAUUUAUUAAGAAAACUGACUUCAUUCUGGAGUCCCAAAUCGGUUCAGUAUUUGAAAGGAAUUCAGCUGAAAUUAAUGUCCCAAGUGAUUCAGAUGGCAGGAUCCUAAAACCUUCAAAAAGCAGCAGCAAAGCUCCUUCAUCAUAACAGAUCAUAAAGCAAACAUGACUUCAAUAGCCAUCUUUAUUUGGACACUCACAACCUGCAUCUGCAGUUCAGUGGGGCAGAUUCUGACUCAAUCUGAAGAUCAAACAGUGAAGCCUAAUCAGACUGUCACUAUUCACUGCAAUCAUAAACCAGCUGUGAUUUGUUGGAAAAAGGAUACCUCUCUGUAUUGCAUGUCAUGGUACCAUCAGAUUCCUGGAGAAGCUCCUAAACUCCUGACCUAUUACACAUCAGAGCGAGCUUCAGGUGUUUCUUCUAGAUUCAGUGGCAGUGAAAGUGGAAACCACAUGGAUUUUACUCUGACCAUCAGUGGAGUCCAGCCUGAAGAUUCAGGAGUUUAUUUCUGUCAGAGUCAACAUAACAAGGGAGUCUCUGGCACGAAGGACUGGGUGUUCACACAGUGUAAAAUCAUCGUACAAAAACUUCCUUGUGUGAGACUGCAGCAUUGCAGCUUUGAGCUUCUGCAGAUGUUGAUGUUGAAGAUCAUUAUUCACCUCACUGACUUUACACACAAACACACGCAUAGAGACUCUAUGUAAUGCUGCUGAACGGUUUAUGUUCAUUAUUGUCACACACUUCUCGAACACAUUGUACAUAUUUUAUUAAUAACAAACAUCAGAAUGUCUCAAUCAGGCUUCCACAUAAAUCCAGUCCAAGGAUUGGAUUGGCCAUGUGAGUGAAAGCUCACCAUGGCCAAAGCAACUUCUCAAAUUCAUGCUGUAACUAACAAUCUGAAUAGCCCAGUUCAGUGUCAAAUAAGCCAUAAUCCAUAUUUUGUUACAUUCUGUAUUUGUCAACAACCACAACACGUUUUCCCUGCUAUAUUUAAAAUGAAAUAUAUAAGCUGUUCAUUUUCUUGAGACACUGAUGUUCACCUCUAUUCAUAUUAAUGAUAAAAGCAUGUAAACCAAUAAAAUCCAAAUAAGAUUAAAUACUACAGUAAAGGAAAGAAAUAAGAUUAAAUGAGGACAAAAAAAAAAUAAUUCACAUUACACAUAAAUUGUCUUCUUGUAGAUGCAUAUUUAAAUGCUUCUCCAUUAUUUGGAUAUUAUUAAUAAAAUAUUAGGGAAUGUGAUCAUAUGUUUCAUAUUGUGAAACAUGUUUCAUAACCCUAUUUUUUGGCAAAACAAAAUCUA